AUUGAACGCUGGCGGCAGGCCUAACACAUGCAAGUCGAACGGUAACAGGAAGCAGCUUGCUGCUUUGCUGACGAGUGGCGGACGGGUGAGUAAUGUCUGGGAAACUGCCUGAUGGAGGGGGAUAACUACUGGAAACGGUAGCUAAUACCGCAUAACAUCGCAAGACCAAAGAGGGGGACCUUCGGGCCUCUUGCCAUCGGAUGUGCCCAGAUGGGAUUAGCUAGUAGGUGGGGUAACGGCUCACCUAGGCGACGAUCCCUAGCUGGUCUGAGAGGAUGACCAGCCACACUGGAACUGAGACACGGUCCAGACUCCUACGGGAGGCAGCAGUGGGGAAUAUUGCACAAUGGGCGCAAGCCUGAUGCAGCCAUGCCGCGUGUAUGAAGAAGGCCUUCGGGUUGUAAAGUACUUUCAGCGGGGAGGAAGGGAGUAAAGUUAAUACCUUUGCUCAUUGACGUUACCCGCAGAAGAAGCACCGGCUAACUCCGUG
rnacentral:rRNA from 1 species